CCCAAGUGGUCUCAAAACCAAGUCGCAGCAGAAAUAGAAGUUUUAUUUGUUUUGUUUUUUUACAACAAUCCUUAAAUCUGAAGUUUAAGGAAUAUGCACAACAUUAGCAUGUUAGUCACUGUCAAGCAGGACCAGCAGCUGGAGCACAACACACACCUGGCCCCUGAGAACCUGUACAGCGUUAGGGCAAGAUUUCUAGUAGGCGACGUAGGGAACUGUUAGCUAAAGCAACUUUGUAAAGCAAUUCUGUCAGGUUUAAGUGAAAUGAACGCAGCUUGAAAGUCCUGUCGAAUGUCUCCAUGUGUUUCAGACAAAUUCCAUCCAGCCGCUAAUAAUCUCACAAAAAUGUAAAGCAAAUAUGUCUGUGUGUUUCUGUUGGCUUCCAUUAGUUCCAAAUGAUUUAUUUACCCAUUGUAAUACUUCUUGCAUUCAGACGGCUCCGAGGUGUUUGCAGACGGUAACGUGGCCAGUAUGGGAUUCGUCCAGGCGGCUCUCCCACCGCCCUGAGCGUCCACUGUGACAUGAACAGUGGAAGAGGAUGGACUGUCUUCCAGAGGAGGAGGGAUGGCAAGGAGAGCUUUGACAGGUGUGUGUGCGUGUGCACUUCAAACACAUAAAAAUAGGAAUUUACCCUUGCAUGCAUCAAGAAAUCAAAGACAUUCAAGUGGAUGAAUCAGUGCGUGCACACUUGAGUGCAAGCAUGGAUUUGGAGACCUCUACGCCCCUGAUGGAGAAUUCUGGCUGGGCAACAAACCUCUACACCAUAUCACCUCACAAGGAAACCACGACCUGCGGACUGACAUGGAAGACUGACGGUUAUCGGCGCCACACGGUGGACAAGAACUUCACAGUAUCAGAUGGAAAGCAGCAAGAACAUCUGGCUCCAGUACCAGUUACAGCUAGGAGACUACAAUGGGAAAGCAGCAGACGCCCUGGCUGACGCCCAUGCCCCCCCCGGCCUCUUCUGGGCCGAAAUGGAUGGGUCCAGGCUUGGGGUCAAACGUGGUCAGAUUCAGCACCAGCUGAAAGAUGACGGCAGGUGUAUCAGACACAGCAAGUCAGGCUGGUGGUUCAGCAAGUAAUCAUGCUAAAAGUUAAAAACAAGGGAGCAAAAUUCAAAAUGGCAAUAUGCGUUUGGGUUUCAUCUAUUUUUAUUUGAUUUCCUCAUUGCAGGUGUGAUUCAGGCAACCUGAAUGGUCAUUACUAUGACGGGGUGGUGUGGUACACAUGGCACGGUUGGUGGUACGUCAUCAAAUCCGUGGGUCAUGAUGGUACGAGCCACUGACCGUGAGCAGGUCCCAGUUAGCUGGACAACUCGAGCCCAGCAAAGCGGCAGGCUACGGUGUGGAUCUUCCUCAUGACUGGGCUGGAAGCAAACCGUCUCCUUACUGGAGCUGAAAAGCGUUACAUUUUUGACUUCACAUCUGGUACAGGGUACAGACUGGGUAAAGUCAGCGUCAUUUCACUCGAGCCUUUCCUGUGUUCCUGCUGUCUGACGUUUUCAAAAAUGUGAAUCAUGCAUUUAUUUUAAUAUUGAAAAUAAAACAAUGUUGCUUUGAGUUAAUCUUA